GCCUAGGAAUCUGCCUGGUAGUGGGGGACAACGUUUCGAAAGGAACGCUAAUACCGCAUACGUCCUACGGGAGAAAGCAGGGGACCUUUGGGCCUUGCGCUAUCAGAUGAGCCUAGGUCGGAUUAGCUAGUUGGUGAGGUAAUGGCUCACCAAGGCGACGAUCCGUAACUGGUCUGAGAGGAUGAUCAGUCACACUGGAACUGAGACACGGUCCAGACUCCUACGGGAGGCAGCAGUGGGGAAUAUUGGACAAUGGGCGAAAGCCUGAUCCAGCCAUGCCGCGUGUGUGAAGAAGGUCUUCGGAUUGUAAAGCACUUUAAGUUG
rnacentral:rRNA from 1 species